GACUUGUGUGCGCCGGAUGCGGCGAUCUGCGGCCAAAAGGUCGUUGCGAUCAGCCCGUCCUGGCGCCGUAAAAUUUGCAACUGAGUCGCCUCUGGUCUUAAUUGGUCGGUGGCGUCUGCUCGGUUGCUCGUUUACUGUGAGAAAAUUAGAGUGUUCAAGGCAGGCAUAAUUGCAAUUGAAUAUGUUAGCAUGGAAUAAUAAGAUAAGGCUUCUGCUUUAUUUUUUUGGUUUCUAGAGUGGAAGUAAUGAUUGAUAGGGAUAGUUGGGGGUGCUAGUAUUCAGCGGCCAGAGGUGAAAUUCAUGGAUUCGCUGAAGACUAACUUAUGCGAAAGCAUU
rnacentral:rRNA from 1 species